rnacentral:rRNA from 1 species
GGAUGAACGCUGGCGGCGUGCCUAAUACAUGCAAGUCGAGCGAACAGACGAGGAGCUUACUCCUCUGACGUUAGCGGCGGACGGGUGAGUAACACGUGGAUAGCCUACCUAUAAGACUGGGAUAACUUCGGGAAACCGGAGCUAAUACCGGAUAACAUGUUGAACCGCAUGGUUCAACAGUGAAAGACGGUCUUGCUGUCACUUAUAGAUGGAUCCGCGUCGCAUUAGCUAGUUGGUAAGGUAACGGCUUACCAAGGCAACGAUGCGUAGCCGACCUGAGAGGGUGAUCGGCCACACUGGAACUGAGACACGGUCCAGACUCCUACGGGAGGCAGCAGUAGGGAAUCUUCCGCAAUGGGCGAAAGCCUGACGGAGCAACGCCGCGUGAGUGAAGAAGGUCUUCGGAUCGUAAAACUCUGUUAUUAGGGAAGAACAAAUGUGUAAGUAACUAUGCACGUCUUGACGGUACCUAAUCAGAAAGCCACGGCUAACUACGUG